rnacentral:snRNA from 1 species
AUACUUACCUGGAUGGGGUCUAUGGCUCAUCAAGAACAGCCAUGGCCUAGGCUAGUGGCCUCCAUUGCACUUGGGGAGGAGCACUAGUCUACCAUCUCCUCAAGUAGGAGAGUGAACAUCAUAAUUUGUGGGAGAGGGGAUACGCGUCCGCGCGGUCCCUAC